rnacentral:rRNA from 1 species
AACGAACGCUGGCGGCGUGCCUAACACAUGCAAGUCGAACGAGAAUCCGGGCUUCGGUCCGGUAGUAAAGUGGCGCACGGGUGAGUAACACGUGGGUAACGUACAUCGUAGUGGGGGAUAACCAGGUGAAAGCUUGGCUAAUACCGCAUGAGUCCGCUGGGGCGCAGGCCCUGGCGGGGAAAGUGGAGCAAUCCACGCUACGAGAUCGGCUCGCGGCCCAUUAGCUAGUUGGCGGGGUAACGGCCCACCAAGGCGACGAUGGGUAGCUGGUCUGAGAGGAUGAUCAGCCACACUGGAACUGAGACACGGUCCAGACUCCUACGGGAGGCAGCAGUGGGGAAUCUUGCGCAAUGGGCGAAAGCCUGACGCAGCAACGCCGCGUGCGGGAUGAAGGCCUC